rnacentral:rRNA from 1 species
GACGAACGCUGGCGGCGUGCUUUACACAUGCAAGUCGAGCGGAAAGGCCCUUCGGGGUACUCGAGCGGCGAACGGGUGAGUAACACGUGAGUAACCUGCCCUAGGCUUUGGGAUAACCCCGGGAAACCGGGGCUAAUACCGGAUAUGACCUGGUGCCGCAUGGUGUUGGGUGGAAAGUUUUUUCGGCCUGGGAUGGGCUCGCGGCCUAUCAGCUUGUUGGUGGGGUGAUGGCCUACCAAGGCGAUGACGGGUAGCCGGCCUGAGAGGGCGACCGGCCACGCUGGGACUGAGACACGGCCCAGACUCCUACGGGAGGCAGCAGUGGGGAAUAUUGCACAAUGGGCGGAAGCCUGAUGCAGCGACGCCGUGUGAGGGAUGAAGGCCUUCGGGUUGUAAACCUCUUUCAGCAGGGACGAAGCGUGAGUGACGGUACCUGCAGAAGAAGCGCCGGCCAACUACGUG